GUACAAUGGCGCAGUUUUGGUGCUCGCGGACAUGUCCAUGUCUGCAGUUAAACGGGAAACGCCAAGCCGCAAGGCCAAGGAGUGCUGCCCCCGCAACGGUAAAACAAGCGUCACGGUAUUGCGUGACCAAUCGUCUUUUUACACCACUGUGCCAUUGCAUGGGAAGGUGAGACGGUUUGCUUGUCAGCCCGGAUACCGGCCGGAACAGGUGAAAGCAA
rnacentral:ncRNA from 1 species